UCUUUCCUCCCGAGUGCUUGCGCUCAAUUGGAAAGAGGAGUGGCGGACGGGUGAGUAACACGUGGGUAACCUACCCAUCAGAGGGGGAUAACACUUGGAAACAGGUGCUAAUACCGCAUAACAGUUUAUGCCGCAUGGCAUAAGAGUGAAAGGCGCUUUCGGGUGUCGCUGAUGGAUGGACCCGCGGUGCAUUAGCUAGUUGGUGAGGUAACGGCUCACCAAGGCCACGAUGCAUAGCCGACCUGAGAGGGUGAUCGGCCACACUGGGACUGAGACACGGCCCAGACUCCUACGGGAGGCAGCAGUAGGGAAUCUUCGGCAAUGGACGAAAGUCUGACCGAGCAACGCCGCGUGAGUGAAGAAGGUUUUCGGAUCGUAAAACUCUGUUGUUAGAGAA
rnacentral:rRNA from 1 species